rnacentral:rRNA from 1 species
UACGUAGGGGGCGAGCGUUGUCCGGAGUUACUGGGCGUAAAGGGCAUGCAGGCGGUCGGACGCGUUUCGGGUGACAGCGGGUGGCUUAACUACCCGAGUGGUCGAAAGACGGUUUGACUUGAGGACGCGAGAGGGACACGGAAUUCCGGGUGGAGUGGUGAAAUGCGUAGAUAUCUGGAGGAACACCGGUGGCGAAGGCGGCAUCCUGGACCGGUAUUGACGCUGAGUGAGCGAAAGCCAGGGGAGCAAACGGGG